rnacentral:rRNA from 1 species
AUUGAACGCUGGCGGAAUGCUUUACACAUGCAAGUCGAACGAUGAAGUCUAGCUUGCUAGACGAAUUAGUGGCGAACGGGUGAGUAAUAUAUCGGAACGUAUCCAUUAAUGGGGGAUAACUAGUCGAAAGAUUGGCUAAUACCGCAUACGUCCUACGGGAGAAAGCUAGGGACCUUCGGGCCUGGCGUUAAUGGAGCGGCCGAUAUCUGAUUAGCUAGUUGGUGAGGUAAAGGCUCACCAAGGCGACGAUCAGUAGCUGGUCUGAGAGGACGACCAGCCACACUGGAACUGAGACACGGUCCAGACUCCUACGGGAGGCAGCAGUGGGGAAUUUUGGACAAUGGGCGAAAGCCUGAUCCAGCCAUUCCGCGUGAGUGAAGAAGGCCUUCGGGUUGUAAAGCUCUUUCGCAAGGGAAGAAAACUUACCCUCUAACAUAGGGUGAGGAUGACGGUACCUUGAUAAGAAGCACCGGCUAACUACGUGCCAGCCGCCGCAGUAAAAC